UAGGGAAUCUUCGGCAAUGGACGAAAGUCUGACCGAGCAACGCCGCGUGAGUGAAGAAGGUUUUCGGAUCGUAAAACUCUGUUGUUAGAGAAGAACAAGGACGUUAGUAACUGAACGUCCCCUGACGGUAUCUAACCAGAAAGCCACGGCUAACUACGUGCCAGCAGCCGCGGUAAUACGAAGGUGGCAAGCGUUGUCCGGAUUUAUUGGGCGUAAAGCGAGCGCCGGCGGUUUCUUAAGUCUGAUGUGAAAGCCCCCGGCUCAACCGGGGAGGGUCAUUGGAAACUGGGAGACUUGAGUGCAGAAGAGGAGAGUGGAAUUCCAUGUGUAGCGGUGAAAUGCGUAGAUAUAUGGAGGAACACCAGUGGCGAAGGCGGCUCUCUGGUCUGUAACUGACGCUGAGGCUCGAAAGCGUGGGGAGCAAACGGG
rnacentral:rRNA from 1 species